ACAAUUACGUUAAGGUACAUUUCCAUUUGUAAUUCUGUGAUAGAAUUGGUUAGGUGUCUGAAUACUUUUGGAAAACACUGUAGUUGAUGAAACAAAAUAGGUAUUCAAGUUAUGUUGUGAAUUGGUGUUUUAAGGAUAUUCAUUGUAUUGCUGAACUGAUCCCACUUUAAUGUGUUUAGAUAGCAGGCUCCUACCAAACUCCCUCAGCUCUGUGUGCAGCCAGCUUUAUUAUUAAGCAAACAUUGCAAACAAGUUCAAACAGUGAUUUGCCAGGUCCAGUCAUUGUAUGUGCACUGAAUUAAAGAACCACACCUCCCUGAAUAUUCACGAACAUCCUGCUUUCAAGGAUGUAAUAAUGUAGGUAGGCUGUUCAAUUGAAAGUCACUUCUUUACCUCUAGAACAACAUGACGAGAGCAAUGAUUGUCACUAUAUUUAUCUUGUUUAUUCCUGUAGCUGUCUUUCAAGAAAAUAUGACAAAUACACCAACAAAGACUACCAGCCCGUUCAUCGAGCCGGUCAGCACCACAGCGGUCCCAUCCUCAUUAACCAGUACAGCAAAUGUGUUCGUCACUAACAGACCUAAUACAGAUUCUACUGAGACAACUGCCGUUCCAAAGGAAUCGACCUCCACAUUUACAACUGAGCCUUCCCAAUCUCAGCCCGUGCCAGAACCCUCUGCCAACGCCACCAGUCCGAUGACAAAUAAUCACACAUUGACUGGAACAGCUCCUGGUGAUUCCACAUCCUCCAACCUCUUGUCCGCUCUGUUGCCAAAAUCUGAUUUUACUGUGGGGACAAUGAGUUUAAACACAGCUUUACAAAGUGAUGGGAGACCUGAUUUAUCAAGAAGCCCCGGCCUGGUAGCUGUCCUCUGCAUUUUCUGCAUCUGUCUGUGUCUUCUGCUUGUUAUUGGCAUUGCAAAACUAAUUAGUUUGAGGCAUUCAAAGUUUCAGAGGCUUGAAGAUGUGCCAAUGGGCAAAAUCAAUGAAGGGUCUCCAUUUGCCCAUUACCCUACAAAACAAUACUGAAAGAUAAUAUGCAUCAUUGGACACUAUUUACAUGGAGGUUGGUCAGCAGCAUGCUGAAGUCAAUGUCUGGACCAAAGUGAAGUGAUGUGCCUUUUAUUCCUAGGCAGAUGACAUGCCAAGAACCGGACCAUGACGGCAUUUACUCAGCGAUCCCCAUUCUGAUCUUUUAAAAUCACACCAGAUGUUAUUUCUCACAUGCUUGGUUGAAAAAAGGCGUAGACGGUCAUUGGAAUGCUUACUUGAGGGACCUUUUACAAAAAUGCAGAUGAAGAGAAUACAAAUUAAAAUAUAAUAAAGUAGUGAUGCAAUGGUAACACAUGGGAAUAUAAAUUGUUAAAAGACAAAAUGAUAUGAAUAAAAAUACCUUGGUGAUUCACAAAGAUUAGUGUACC